rnacentral:ncRNA from 1 species
GCAUUCGGUUCGCAUUGCAUCACCAGUCCCAUUCCAUUCGGCUUCGGGGCGAAUCGGUAUGACUGGGGCCGCAGUUUCCCCAGUGUGUCUCCGCGCCUCGGCUCGUAAUGGUCUCACCCAAUCAAAGCGGCGCCCUCCGGCGUACCACUUAGAGGAAUACGCAUUUCUGCGGCGAAUACAAACGCGAGUACGCGCACCGGAGCGGACACACUGGGACUUGUCUGGCGGUGCUGCCCGCGCGGUCGGUACCGCCCUCUCGGCCACCCAAGCAGGUGGAUAGGUGAGGAGACGCGCAGAACGGCGGCCGCGAGGCAGCCGGCGCGGUGCUCCCUCGGCGCGGUUCGCCGGAGCAGACUUGUGCUUACGGUUUGAGCCGCGGCCCGGUAGGUUGACUGAGCGGCUGGUGCGUGUGAGGCGGUGCUGGGCGGGGUUGGGUCGCCACUGCGCGAUCCGGCCCCAGUCUCGGUUACGUAGACGCCUAGUCAGCACGUGCCGCCGCGGGGACUCACCCUCCCCCGACGCAAAAGCUCCCUCGCUGUGCCCCUCCGGACCGGAUGGGGCCGCCUGGGUAGCGGCUGUGUGUGAGAAGCAGAUGGUUUCCCGAUGGGCAGACGCCUCGUGCGCCUCACCCCGCAGCGCGGCUGGCUCGCAGCUCGGAGGUCUCCUCUGGGCGCGGGUCGGCUGGCUGCACUGUCGGUGGCGGUGGCGCCUCGACUGGCCCCGCAUAACAAGGCCCUGGCAGGCUCAGCGGUGCAGCCCUCCCCUUUCGGAGCGGCUCCCGCCCUGCUGUGGAGCUGCGGCGUGUCGGUUGUGAUGCGCUUCUAGCCACCGAGCGGUCGUGCGAAUCCUUGAGUGGAGGCGCGAUGCGCGGCGCCCCGCAAGGCCGCCCGUACUGGGCCGGCUCGCGGCUUGGCGCUGCGCGAGGGCUGCGGCUCUGACUAGAGCUGCGCUCCGUAACAUGAUUACGACACGUGUCCUUGGCUUUGUUGGCCUUGGAGUGAGCACUGUCGGUCAGACUCUGGGCGGCCGCGCGCGGUGGUCUCUUGUCCCCUCCGGAUACGGAGGGCUCUGACUCGGACCGCGCGCGCUGGCCUGCCUCUGUCUGGUCCGGGACUUCCGUUGUGGGAGGGGGUCUGGUCCCGACUGGGCUCCCUCCCCGCGGGUUGUCUGCGGGCUACCUGGUUGAUCCUGCCAGUAGUCAUAUGCUUGUCUCAAAGAUUAAGCCAUGCAUGUCUAAGUAUAAGCGACUAUACUGUGAAACUGCGAAUGGCUCAUUAAAUCAGUUAUGGUUUAUUUGAUGGUACCUUGCUACUUGGAUAACCGUAGUAAUUGUAGAGCUAAUCAUGCAGGAGUUCCCGACUCACGGAGGGAUGUAUUUAUUAGAUAAGAAACCAAACCGGUCUCCGGUUGCGUGGGAAUUUCAAGCUAGAGGUGUCAGAAAAGUUACCACAGGGAUAACUGGCUUGUGGCUGCCAAGCGUUCAUAGCGACGUAGCUUUUUGAUCCUUCGAUGUCGGCUCUUCCUAUCACUGCCUCGCAGCGGGGGCCAAAUGCAGGAUUGUUCACCCACCAACAGGGAACGUGAGCUGGGUUUAGACCGUCGUGAGACAGGUUAGUUUUACCCUACUGCUGUCUGUUUUUCUACGGUAAUUUGGUUCAGUACGAGAGGAACCACCAAUUCGCAUCAUCGGUAUAGCCGCCGCCGGAAACGGCGAUGCGGCGAAGCUGCCAUGCGCCGGAUUAUAACUGAACGCCUCUAAGUUAGAAUCCAUGCCGGAAGGAAAGCCACCUACCGGCCCGGGGACGCCACGAGCAACGGUAGCACUGCCUGAGCCGCGAGCGACCACAAUUCACGGACCCGGGCCGACGAAUCCCUUGCAGACGACUUGAAUAAGGAACGGGGUAUUGUACGCGGCAGAGUGGCCUUGUUGCCACGAUCCGCUGAGAUUCAGCCUUGGUUCUGACGAUUUGU